rnacentral:rRNA from 1 species
UACGUAGGGUGCGAGCGUUAAUCGGAAUUACUGGGCGUAAAGCGUGCGCAGGCGGUUUUGUAAGUCCGAUGUGAAAGCCCCGGGCUCAACCUGGGAAUUGCAUUUGAAACUACAAGGCUAGAGUGUGUCAGAGGGGGGUAGAAUUCCACGUGUAGCAGUGAAAUGCGUAGAGAUGUGGAGGAAUACCGAUGGCGAAGGCGGCAUCCUGGACCGACACUGACGCUGAGGAGCGAAAGCCAGGGGAGCAAACGGG